UCCCUACGGGACGCAGCAGUGGGGGAUAUUGCACAAUGGGGGGAACCCUGAUGCAGCGACGCCGCGUGGGUGAAGAAGUAUUUCGGUAUGUAAAGCCCUAUCGGCAGGGAAGAAAUUGGACGGUACCUGACUAAGAAGCCCCGGCUAACUACGUGCCAGCAGCCGCGGUAAUACGUAGGGGGCAAGCGUUAUCCGGAUUCACUGGGUGUAAAGGGAGCGUAGACGGCCAUGCAAGCCUGGUGUGAAAGCCCGCGGCCCAACCGCGGGACUGCAUUGGGAACUGGCGCGCUGGAGUGC
rnacentral:rRNA from 1 species